rnacentral:rRNA from 1 species
UACAGAGGGGGCAAGCGUUGUUCGGAAUUACUGGGCGUAAAGGGCUCGUAGGCGGCCAACUAAGUCAGACGUGAAAUCCCUCGGCUUAACCGGGGAACUGCGUCUGAUACUGGAUGGCUUGAGUUCGGGAGAGGGAUGCGGAAUUCCAGGUGUAGCGGUGAAAUGCGUAGAUAUCUGGAGGAACACCGGUGGCGAAGGCGGCAUCCUGGACCGACACUGACACUGAGGAGCGAAAGCCAGGGGAGCAAACGGGG